AACUGAAUUAUCCCAUAGUAGUUAUCAGUUUGUGUCAAUUUGUUUAAAAAGACCCUACUCCCAAGGCUUUACAUUUUCAUUAAUUCCCCAUGCAAUACAUUUAAAUGAAUUGUUCAAACAAAGGCGAGAACAAUGGAUAAAAGCCAUAAGGAGAACAGAUCUAACAGAACUAAAAUUAAAAUAAAGUGGAAAGCCAGCCACUUUAGAGGACAUAAAUAAUGAAGAUUUGAUUCCAAACCAAAACAUGGGUUGCCAAAGCCAGGCAAUAAAAAGAAAAGGUGAUCUACAAUCCGGAGAGCUGAUAAAAGAAGUAAAUAUAAAGAAAAUAAUGCUGAGACUUCUCUCGAUGAUGAACCAACACCAGAUAGUUUAAAUGUAGGGUAAGGAGUAACUGCUGGAACUCCAACACAAACGUGUUUGACUAGUGAAGAUUUGGAUAAACAACAGGAGUUACAGCUCCCGGAGCGAACCGUGUCCCGUGAGAGAAACCCUGUCUGUGUAAACAUUAGGUGAGUGGUUCGCUCCGGGAGCUGUACUUUCAUUUUCCAAAGAAAUACUUAAUGAUCUAUCAAAUAGAUGUAGCAAAGUAAAGUUAUGUGAUAAUUCUUUAAAAGAUGACAAUAAAAAGUGUCUUUAUUAUAAAGGUUUAGAGUUCCCUAUUUUAAAUGUAGUUUUUAAUAAAAUCAAGCAACAUAUAACAUAUACCAACUAGUUCUAUAUCUGCUUUGGAACUAUGUCAACAGUAUUUGUUAAGAUCAAUUAAAUUACAACUAAACCUUCCAUUUAAAGAUAUUGCAUAUCGUUUUGGAAUAUUGAAUAGCAUCUGUUCUUCAUAUUUUAAUACAGUCAUUUCAAUAUUACAUCAAAAAUUAAAAAGAUUAAUAAUCUGGCCAGAACAAGAAGUAGCACAGAAAACAGUCCUCGUUUUAAAGAGGUUUUCAGAAUA
rnacentral:lncRNA from 1 species